UACGUGGGGAGCAAGCGUUGUUCGGAUUUACUGGGCGUAAAGAGCUCGUAGGCGGAUGCGUAAGUCGGAUGUGAAAUCCUCUGGCUCAACCAGAGAAUUGCACCCGAAACUGCGCAUCUUGAGUUCAGUAGAGGGAAUCGGAAUCGGUUGUGUAGCGGUGAAAUGCGUAGAGAUAACCGAGAACACCAGUGGCGAAGGCGGAUUCCUGGGCUGACACUGACGCUGAGGAGCGAAAGCGUGGGGAGCAAACAGG
rnacentral:misc_RNA from 1 species